GGGCCUAUGGUCUAGGGGUAUGAUUUUCGCUUCGCAUUAUCCAAUGUUCUGUGAAAGGUCCCGGGUUCAAAUCCCGGUGGGUCCA